CCUGCCCUUCAGAGGGGGACAACAGUUGGAAACGACUGCUAAUACCGCAUACGAUCCGACCUCGGCAUCGAGGAUGGAUGAAAGGUGGCCUCUAUUUAUAAGCUAUCACUGAAGGAGGGGAUUGCGUCUGAUUAGCUAGUUGGAGGGGUAACGGCCCACCAAGGCAAUGAUCAGUAGCCGGUCUGAGAGGAUGAACGGCCACAUUGGGACUGAGACACGGCCCAG
rnacentral:rRNA from 1 species